UGUGUAGGCGGUUCUCUAAGUUUGGUGUGAAAUCUCCCGGCUCAACUGGGAGGGUGCGCCGAAAACUGGGGGGCUAGAGUGCGGGAUGGGUAAGUGGAAUUCCUGGUGUAGCGGUGAAAUGCGUAGAUAUCAGGAGGAACACCUGUGGUGUAGACGGCUUACUGGACCGCAACUGACGCUGAGACACGAAAGCGUGGGUAAGCAAACA
rnacentral:rRNA from 1 species